CUGAGGUACCCUGACCUUCAGACACAGAGGUCCUAUGGGAAUCUCAAGAGCUGCAAGGGUCGCCAUCCUUCCCCUGGGACCCUGCCACCUUGUCCUCCCUGAGACAGCCUCAGACCUUCUGUCCCAACCCCGACCCCGAGGGUACUGGGAGGGAAGGGCAGUGCUCAGCCCCCACCCACGCAGGUGCACGCCUGGCAGGCUCUUGGUGUCUUGCAGAGUGCCUGGAGACAUUUCCCUGGGCGAUGCUGGACCUGCAGGCAGACCUGGAGGACGACUCCCCGGGAGCCAGCCUGUGGCCCACCACUGUCACCCUGCUCACACUCUUCCUGCUCAGCCUCUUCUACAGCACGGCGCUGACCGUCACAAGCAUCCGGGACCCAUCUGGCAGCAAAGAGGGCCCCCAGUACUGAGCAGGAGCCAGCCAGGCACAGGGAGGAGCAUGGAGGAGUCCCCUGGAACCCAGCUGGACCCAGAGCUCAGCCCAGCUCAGAAGCCACCCACCUGUCCCCACACAGGCCAUGCUGGUGCAAUAAACUCAUCA